rnacentral:rRNA from 1 species
UGGUCGGUACAGAGGUUGCCAACCCGCGAGGGGGAGCUAAUCCCAGAAAGCCGAUCGUAGUCCGGAUUGCAGUCUGCAACUCGACUGCAUGAAGUCGGAAUCGCUAGUAAUCGCGGAUCAGCAUGUCGCGGUGAAUACGUUCCCGGGCCUUGUACACACCGCCCGUCACACCAUGGGAGUGGGUUCCACCAGAAGUAGUUAGUCUAACCGCAAGGAGGACGACUACCACGGUGGGAUUCAUGACUGGGGUGAAGUCGUAACAAGGUAACC